GGGGGCAUAGCUCAGCUGGGAGAGCACUUGCCUUACAAGCAAGGGGUCACUGGUUCGAGCCCAGUUGUCCCCACCA
rnacentral:tRNA from 1 species